CCAGUGUGGGUUAAUUUGGCGGAGGCCUUAUGACACCUACUCCUCUAUUACUGAAGAGCGCAAAUGGUCGGCUGCUUUGAAUGGGUCAGGCUUAUCUUCAAAGGCCUACUGGCUCUUCAUCCAUGUGUGGCAGUGACCGAGCAGUGCAAGAGGCUGGCAAGGCCGCUUGCCAAACAGCUCUAACAUGCCAGACUGAGCACAAGGGAAACUGCAGCUCAAGAGUUUAACCUCUAUUCUGUGCAUUUUGGUUAAGGGGUACUGGCAUUUGUCCGGGAGUCACGACCUCAUGUCUGGACUCAAGAUGCUUGAAAUCAAAAUUUGUUCACCCUCUACUUAGCUGUUUAUUAAAUCUAAAUAGGCGAGUCAAAGCAUUUUGAUGACGUUGCUUGAGACUCAUGAGAUGCAACCUAGGUGAGAGUAUGAGGUAGUCAUUAUUUCUCCACCUGAACAAAGGCAGAUCUCUUCUCUCCAGUCAAACAGGGUAGCUUGGUUGGUUGGUUUGGAUGUUAUUAUGGCUUGUGACAACUAGGAUCAGCAUUUUAUAAGGCAA